rnacentral:rRNA from 1 species
AGGAGGCAGCAGUGAGGAAUCUUGCACAAUGGGGGAAACCCUGAUGCAGCGACGCCGCGUGAGCGAUGAAGCCCUUCGGGGCGUAAAGCUCUUUCGGCCCGAACGAUAAUGACGGUACGGGAAGAAGAAGCUGCGGCUAACUACGUGCCAGCAGCCGCGGUAAUACGUAGGCAGCAAGCGUUGUUCGGAGUUACUGGGCGUAAAGAGUGCGUAGGCGGUGUCGAAAGUUUGGCGUGAAUCUCCCGGCUUAACUGGGAGGGUGCGCCGAAAACUGCGACGCUGGAGUGUGGGAAAGGCAAGCGGAAUUCCUGGUGUAGCGGUGAAAUGCGUAGAUAUCAGGAGGAACACCGGCGGUGUAGACGGCUUGCUAGACCAUAACUGACGCUGAGGCACGAAUGCGUGGGUAGCAAACAGGAUUAGAAACCCCAGUAGUCCG